GAUGAGCGCUAGCGGCAGGCCUAAUACAUGCAAGCCGAACGGCAAGUUUGAUAGCAAUAUUGGACCUAGAGUGGCGCAAGGGUGCGUAACACGUAUGCAACCUGCCCGCGACAGGAGGAUAGCUCCCCGAAAGGGGAAUUAACCCUCCAUAACACCAUGAGAAGGCAUCUGUUUAUGGUUAAACCGCAAGGGGUCGCGGAUGGGCAUGCGGUUGAUUAGCUAGUUGGCGGGGUAAAGGCCCACCAAGGCGGUGAUCAAUAGGGGUUCUGAGAGGACGGUCCCCCACACGAGACCUGAGAUACGGGCCAGACUCCGACGGGAGGCAGCAGUAGGGAACAUUGGGCGAUGGUUGGAAGACUGAUCCAGCCAUGCCGCGUGCAGGAAGAAGGCCUGCUGGGUCGUAAUCUGCUUGUACCUGUGGAUAAAAUACCCGUGCGCGGGGAAUGGAGGGUAACAGGGGAAAUAGCCACGGCUAACUACGG
rnacentral:rRNA from 1 species